GACGAACGCUGGCGGCGUGCCUAAUACAUGCAAGUCGAACGCAGUGGGGACGGGUGAGUAACACGUGGGUAACCUCCCAUCAGAGGGGAUAACACUUGGAAACAGGUGCUAAACCGAUACUGAUGGAUGGACCCGCGGUGCAUUAGCUAGUUGGUGAGGUAACGGCUCACCAAGGCCCCGAUGCAUAGCCGGCCUGAGAGGGUGAUGGGCCACACGGGGACUAGGACACGGCCCGGACUCCUACGGGAGGCAGCAGUCGGGAAUAUUCGGCAAUGGGCGAAAGUCUGACCGAGCAACGCCGCGUGGGUGAAGAAGGUUUUCGGAUCGUAAAGCUCUGUUGUUGGGGAAGCGGUAUCUAACCAGAAAGCAACGGCUAACUACGUGCCAGCAGCCGCGGUAAUAC
rnacentral:rRNA from 1 species